ensembl:snRNA U6 U6 spliceosomal RNA
GUGUUACAUUUGACAGCCCAUAUACUAAAAUUAAAAUGAUACAGAGAAGAUUAGCAUGGCCCCUGGCAAGAAUGAUACGCAAAUUCACAAGACAUUCUAUAUUUUU